UUUUUCAGUUUUUUUUGUUCCUGAGAAUUUUUAAACAAAAACUGUAAAAAUAUAUCCCUAAUUUUACUCUCACUAUCACCUCCACGAUCAAGAUUUAUAACUGAAUUAAUCUCCUAUUUAACACCAAAUUUUGUUUCUUCCUGUUCACUAUGAUUACGAUUUUCUCUGUUUUCCUCUCCAAUUUUUUUCUUCUUCUGGUUGCCAUAUAAACCUACAGUUACAAUUCUCAGAAAGCCACCUGCUUGAAUUUGAGAAGAUGAUCUGAAUCACAAUAAACUGGAGAAAAUUGUGGAUGGACUUGAUUUAAUAGUGGUGGAUGACAAGAAUGGGUUUGUGAUUCAUCAAGAGGAUGAUGAUCGAUGAUGAUAACUAGAGAGCUCAAACAAUAAUGGCGUUGGUUAGAUCUGAUGGAAGUAAUAUUCAAUAGAAAAGGGACACAAAUAGAAGAGACAUAUAUAUGAUAGCACUGUUAAUUGUGAAUAAUGAACAUGUCCACAUAUAUAUUCCCAACUUUGCAUUAUCGUAGUCUCUGUAAUGAUA